GACGAACGCUGGCGGCGUGCUUAACACAUGCAAGUCGAACGGAAAGGCCCUGCUCUUGUGGGGUGCUCGAGUGGCGAACGGGUGAGUAUCACGUGUGUAACCUGCCCUUGACUGUGGGAUAACUUCACGAGACUGCGGCUCAUACCGGAUAGGAGCUCCUGCUGCAUGGUGUGGGUUGGAAAAUUUCGGCGGUUGUGGAUCGACUAGAGGGUUAUGAGCUGCUUGGUGAAGUAGUGGCUUACCAAGCCUUUGACGGGUAGCCGGCCUGAGAGCGUGACCGGCCACAUGGCGACUACGAUAGGGACCAGACGCCUACGGGAGGCAGCAGUGGGGAAUAUGGCACAAUGGGCGGAAGCGUGAGGCAGCAACGUCGCGUGCGGGAUGCCGGGCUUCGGGUGGUAAACAGCUUUCGCCUGAGACGAAGCGUGAGUGACGGUACUUGGUAAAGAAGCACCGGCUAACUACGUG
rnacentral:rRNA from 1 species